GAGCGGCGAACUGGUGAGUACAAGGUGAAUAACGUGCCCUUGAAUGGGGGAUAACCCCGCGAAAGCGGGGCUAAUACCGCAUGGUUCUUUGGGUCUUCGGGCUUGGAGAAUAAAGCAGUGAUGCGUUGAGGAGCGGUUCACCUCCCCAUUAGCUAGUUGGUAGGGUAAUAGCCUACCAAGGCUUCGAUGGGUAGCUGGUCUGAGAGGAUGGUCAGCCACACUGGGACUGAGAUACGGCCCAG
rnacentral:rRNA from 1 species